rnacentral:rRNA from 1 species
GAUGAACACUGGCGGCGUGCCUAACACAUGCAAGUCGAACGAAGCACCCUGCCUGAUUCUUCGGAUGAAGGUCUGGUGACUGAGUGGCGGACGGGUGAGUAACGCGUGGGUAACCUGCCCUGUACAGGGGGAUAACAGUUGGAAACGGCUGCUAAUACCGCAUAAGCGCACGAGAGGAUAUCCUCUGGUGGUAAAAACUACGGUGGUACAGGAUGGGCCCGCGUCUGAUUAGCUGGUUGGCAGGGUAACGGCCUACCAAGGCGACGAUCAGUAGCCGGUCUGAGAGGAUGAACGGCCACAUUGGAACUGAGACACGGUCCAAACUCCUACGGGAGGCAGCAGUGGGGAAUAUUGCACAAUGGGGGAAACCCUGAUGCAGCAACGCCGCGUGAGUGAAGAAGUAUUUCGGUAUGUAAAGCUCUAUCAGCAGGGAAGAUAAUGACGGUACCUGACUAAGAAGCUCCGGCUAAAUACGUGCCAGCAGCCGCCGUAA